rnacentral:tRNA from 1 species
GGGCUCGUAGCUCAGACUGGAAGAGUACUCCCUUGGCAUGGGAGAAGCCCCGGGUUCAAAUCCCGGCGAGUCCAC